GAUGAACGCUAGCGGCAGGCCUAACACAUGCAAGUCGAGGGAGAGGUUAUCUUCGGGUAACCAAAACCGGCGCACGGGUGCGUAACGCGUAUACAAUCUGCCUUUCACAUAGGGAUAGCCCGAAGAAAUUUGGAUUAAUACCUAAUGGUAUAUAAGAGCGGCAUCGUUUUUAUAUUAAAGCUACGGUGGUGAAAGAUGAGUAUGCGUUCUAUUAGCUAGUUGGAGAGGUAACGGCUCCCCAAGGCGACGAUAGAUAGGGGUUCUGAGAGGGAUGUCCCCCACACUGGUACUGAGAUACGGACCAGACUCCUACGGGAGGCGGCAGUGAGGAAUAUUGGACAAUGGUCGGAAGACUGAUCCAGCCAUGCCGCGUGCAGGAUGAAGGUCCUAUGGAUUGUAAACUGCUUUUGUAAGGGAAGAAUAAGGAGUACGUGUACUUUGAUGACGGUACCUUACGAAUAAGCAUCGGCUAACUCCGUGCCAGCAGCCGCGGUAAUACGGAGGAUGCGAGCGUUAUCCGGAAUCAUUGGGUUUAAAGGGUCCGUAGGCGGGCUGAUAAGUCAGAGGUGAAAGCGCUUAGCUCAACUAAGCAACUGCCUUUGAAACUGUCAGUCUUGAAUGAUUGUGAAGUAGUUGGAAUGUGUAGUGUAGCGGUGAAAUGCUUAGAUAUUACACAGAACACCGAUAGCGAAGGCAUAUUACUAACAAUUUAUUGACGCUGAUGGACGAAAGCGUGGGGAGCGAACAGG
rnacentral:rRNA from 1 species